GAUGAAGAACGUAGCGAAAUGCGAUAAGUAAUGUGAAUUGCAGAAUUCAGUGAAUCAUCGAAUCUUUGAACGCACAUUGCGCCCGCCAGUAUUCUGGCGGGCAUGCCUGUUCGAGCGCCAUUUCAACCAUCAAGCCCCAGGCUUGUGUUGGAGCCCUGCGGCUGCCGCAGCCUCCCAAAACCAGUGGCGGGCUCGCUAUCACACCGAGUGCAGUAGUUUACUCUUCGCUCAGGGCGUGUGGCGGGUGCUAGCCGUAAAACCCCCAACUUCUCAAGGUUGACCUCGGAUCAGGUAGGAAUACCCGCUGAACUUAAGCUUAUCAAUAAGCGGAGGA
rnacentral:misc_RNA from 1 species